CAGUAGGGAAUCUUCCACAAUGGACGAAAGUCUGAUGGAGCAACGCCGCGUGAGUKAAGAAGGGUUUCGGCUCGUAAAACUCUGUUGUUAAAGAAGAACAUAUCUGAGAGUAACUGUUCAGGUAUUGACGGUAUUUAACCAGAAAGCCACGGCUAACUACGUGCCAGCAGCCGCGGUAAUACGUAGGUGGCAAGCGUUGUCCGGAUUUAUUGGGCGUAAAGCGAGCGCAGGCGGUUUUUUAAGUCUGAUGUGAAAGCCUUCGGCUCAACCGAAGAAGUGCAUCGGAAACUGGGAAACUUGAGUGCAGAAGAGGACAGUGGAACUCCAUGUGUAGCGGUGAAAUGCGUAGAUAUAUGGAAGAACACCAGUGGCGAAGGCGGCUGUCUGGUCUGUAACUGACGCUGAGGCUCGAAAGUAUGGGUAGCAAACAGGAUUAGAUACCCUGGUAGUCCAUACCGUAAACGAUGAAUGCUAAGUGUUGGAGGGUUUCCGCCCUUCAGUGCUGCAGCUAACGCAUUAAGCAUUCCGCCUGGGGAGUACGGCCGCAAGUGAAAACUCAAAGGAAUUGACGGGGGCCCGCACAAGCGGUGGAGCAUGUGGUUUAAUUCGAAGCUACGCGAAGAACCUUACCAGGUCUUGACAUACUAUGCAAAUCUAAGAGAUUAGACGUUCCCUUCGGGGACAUGGAUACAGGUGGUGCAUGGUUGUCGUCAGCUCGUGUCGUGAGAUGUUGGGUUAAGUCCCGCAACGAGCGCAACCCUUAUUAUCAGGUUGCCAGCCUUAAGUUGGGCCCUCUGGUGGGACUGCCGGUGACAACCCGAGGAAGGU
rnacentral:rRNA from 1 species